rnacentral:rRNA from 1 species
CAAGGCUUGACAUCCACUUAAACGCAUGGAAACAUGCGGUCUCUUCGGAGGAAGUGAGACAGGUGGUGCAUGGUUGUCGUCAGCUCGUGUCGUGAGAUGUUGGGUUAAGUCCCGCAACGAGCGCAACCCCUAUUGCCAGUUACCAGCGGGUUAUGCCGGGGACUCUGGUGAGACUGCCGGGGACAACUCGGAGGAAGGUGGGGAUGACGUCAAAUCAUCAUGCCCCUUAUGUCUUGGGCUACACACGUGCUACAAUGGCUGAAACAAGGGGAUGCGACAACGUAAGUUGAAGCGGAUCUCACAAAAACAGUCCCAGUUCGGAUUGUGGGCUGCAACCCGCCCACAUGAAGUCGGAGUUGCUAGUAAUCGCGGAUCAGCAUGCCGCGGUGAAUACGUUCCC